UACAGAGGGUGCAAGCGUUAAUCGGAAUUACUGGGCGUAAAGCGUGCGUAGACGGUUAUGUAAGUCAGAUGUGAAAGCCCCGGGCUCAACCUGGGAAUUGCAUUUGAGACUGCAUAGCUAGGGUGCGGAAGAGGGAAGCGGAAUUUCCGGUGUAGCGGUGGAAUGCGCAGAUAUCAGGAGGAACACCAAUAGCGAAGGCAGCUCGCUGGGACGGUACUGACACUGAGGCGCGAAAGCGUGGGGAGCGAACAGG
rnacentral:rRNA from 1 species